GCGACCCCAGGAUGGGCGAGGCUACCCGCCGAGUUUAAGCAUAUCAAUAAGCGGAGG
rnacentral:rRNA from 1 species